rnacentral:rRNA from 1 species
GUCUACGGCCAUGGCAGGCACCCCGAACAAGCCUGAUGUCUGAUCGCAGAAGCUGAGCAGGGUCAGGCCUGGUUAGUACUUGGAUGGAAGACCACCUAGGAAGACCAGGUGCAAUAAAAU